rnacentral:lncRNA from 1 species
GUAGACCAAGCUGGUCUUCGCAGGCUCGACGAGCUCGAGGGCCUCGGCAAGGGCCACUACGAGCGCCGAUCCAUUCUCGUCGAGGGCCUGGAACGAAGUUUAGCUCAGUCCCAAGCUGUGAAUGCCGAGGCUUACUUUGCAGGAUCCAGUUACGCAGUGGAAAUGUUGGGAGCUCCACACUUGCCAAGCUACAGCACCGUCGAGGCGGAGAAUUAUGUUCCGCGGAGGAACCGGCCGCCGGGUAUCACGUUUUUGGAACACGUCCAAGCAUGGAUCGCUGCUAAAAAAUGAAAAAAUGAAAAAAUGAAAAAAUGAAGAUGCUCUCGAGUUUUUUGUAGCCAUGCCACUGUCACGAAAACCACACACGAAUUAAGACAGGGUAUCUCGAACAAAGACAAACCUGACCUUUAGAAUGCUGAUCGCGUUAUUAAGAAUCCCACGGGGAAUCUUAUCGUUCCCUCGUCGAAAGGACACAUGGACCACACUCCUAGCUUCUCCUAUUACCGGGCAGUCUUUUCAGUUGCAAUCCAUCCUUUGAGUAGCGCUUGGAAAAGAAAACAAAAACUUUUAGAGCCGAGCAAUCAGCACAACACUUUACCCUUUCGCCAUUGCAGCACCAGCAUUGGAACCAUCAACCGUGCCGCUUGGAGAGCCAUCAACAUCUCUACUAGCUCGAAUUGUCGAAACUCCAUGGUGGCUUUUCCGAAACUGAAAACGAAAAGAUUCCUUGCUUGCGAGUAGACGCAUACUCGUGAACAGUAUCAAAAGCAGCAAAACAAAAU